UGAUAGCACUUAAUUCAUAGGGUUGUCAAAGGAGAGAAUAUAUGUCACGCUCUUUGUAAACGUUAAAACUGUAUAUAAAUGGUAUAAAUAAAGCUAUAUGUAAUUGGUAUUAUGAUAUACCUUAAAAUAGUCAAAUUGCCCUAAUAGCCUCCCAGUUUUUCUCUCUCUCAAAACUCCAAAUUGCUAUAUCUUUACAUUUCUCACAGGUAUUAUUUUAAGUAGGGACCUAGAGGUGGACCAAAAGUCUUGUCAUCUAAGGACUGACUUGGCUACAUUUGUGAAGGCCUAGCACCGCAGGGUUGGCCACCAAGUGAUGGAUAUUUUUUUCAUUCACAGUGCAGCAGGAUUGCAUUCUGGUUCAGAGAGCUGAGAAUCCAGGCAUCUACCCAUGGAUACUUGGAGAACAGAACCCUCUACAGGGUGUCCACCCACUGUGCUGGCUGUGUUCCUCUAGAUCCCUUGACAUUAUGAUGAAAGAAUUCAUCACCAAGUAGCCAGCCUCCUGGCAAUGACCUUCUCCAGACUUUGGAAUCAAGAAGAUCUGAGUUUGAAUCGUCCUUCAGAUAGUGACUAGCUGUGUAA